UGGGUGGUUGGUGGUGGCCGGCCGGCCGGCGGAGCACCACCACUGACCGCCGUGAAAGUCGCCGGAGGUCCGCCGGAAAACCGCCGCCCGCCGUCGCGCCGGUCGGAGCGCCGCCGUGCUGGCCACCGAUGGUCCGCCGUUGACCGUCGUGUUGACCACCGGUCCUCCACCAUCUCUUUUAAUUAAUUAUUUUAUUAUAUAAUAAACAAUUUAAAAAAUUUUAAAAAAUUGAAGAUUGGGCCUGAAUUAGCUAUUGGGCCUGAAUUUUCAAACCAAUUCCAAACCAAAUUACAAAAUGUGGUUAUGGUUUAUAAUUGGUGUUUUUUUAUUGGAGUGGUGUGGUUUUUUUUUUUAAAUGGAUUUUGCAAACUAAGAUUGGAUAUGGAUUGGUUAGUAAUUUGGUUAAGGAUAGCCAAAUUUUUUGCACACUCCUACUCCAAAGCAUGCCAAAAGGCACAGCAGAAGAAUUUAUAGGCAACACUUUGCUGAGGUGCAAUGAGUUAACAUGACAACUAACAAAGGAAACUAUCUAAAAUAAUAUACAUUAUAUGAGAUAAGAUAGAUAAAGAGUUGAACCAAAAGAUGUUUCUAGAAUCAAACCUUUGGAGGCCUUCUUAUCAGAUAAACCAUUGUCCUCAAUGAUAAGAGAAAAGUGGCUUCAUUAUACCGCACGUAGGACUGUUCAUUAUUAACUGUGAACCGAACCGCCUAACCGAACCACAAAUAACCG
rnacentral:lncRNA from 1 species